GUGAAGAGGAAGAGAAGCGAGGGCGCCAGGAUGCAGAUCUUCGUGAAGACCCUGACGGGGAAGACCAUAACCCUCGAGGUCGAGAGCAGCGACACCAUCGACAAUGUCAAGGCUAAGAUCCAGUACAAGGAGGGAAUCCCGCCGGACCAGCAGCGGCUGAUCUUCGCCGGGAAGCAGCUGGAGGAUGGACGCACCCUGGCUGACUACAACAUACAGAAGGAGUCCACGCUCCACCUCGUCCUCGGCUCCGUGGCGGUAUUAUUGAGCCAUCGCUUCAGGCGCUCGCCCGCAAGUACAACCAGGACAAGAGAUUACUUCGGUCACCAUUAAUCCCGCCGGACCAGCAGCGGCUGAUCUUCGCCGGGAAGCAGCUGGAGGAUGGUCGCACCCUGGCUGACUACAACAUCCAGAAGGAGUCCACGCUCCACCUCGUCCUCAGGCUCCGUGGCGGUAUCAUUGAGCCAUCGCUUCAGGCGCUCGCCCGCAAGUACAACCAGGACAAGAUGAUCUGCCGCAAAUGCUAUGCGCGCCUGCACCCUAGGGCUGUCAACUGCCGCAAGAAGAAGUGUGGACACAGCAACCAGCUGAGGCCCAAGAAGAAGAUCAAGAACUAGAGCGUCACUCGUCGGGUUCAUGGACUGGCUAAAUCAAUCGUCAUAUUAGACCUUUUUGCUUCUGAUAUCUCUGGAUGUUUUUGAACCGUGUUUACUGUGCCGAAUGUUUCAGCUUCUUGUUUUCACGGUCGUGGUAUAUGGUAAUGGCAGCAAACUAUAUUCGGUCAUGUCUGAUUGUUAUGUGGUUCCAUA